CACGCCGUAAACGAUGUCAACUAGCCGUUGGAAUCCUUGAGAUUUUAGUGGCGCAGCUAACGCAUUAAGUUGACCGCCUGGGGAGUACGGCCGCAAGGUUAAAACUCAAAUGAAUUGACGGGGGCCCGCACAAGCGGUGGAGCAUGUGGUUUAAUUCGAAGCAACGCGAAGAACCUUACCUGGCCUUGACAUGCUGAGAACUUUCCAGAGAUGGAUUGGUGCCUUCGGGAACUCAGACACAGGUGC
rnacentral:rRNA from 1 species